UGCAAGUCGAACGGUAACAUGAUUAGCUUGCUAAUUGAUGACGAGUGGCGGACGGGUGAGUAACGCGUAGGGAUCUGCCUUGGUGUGGGGGAUAGCCCGGAGAAAUUCGGAUUAAUACCGCAUACGCCCCAUGGGGGAAAGAGUGCCUCUUCUUGAAAGCAUUCGCACUGAGAUGAACCUGCGUAAGAUUAGCUAGUUGGUGAGGUAAAGGCUCACCAAGGCGACGAUCUUUAGCUGGUCUGAGAGGAUGAUCAGCCACACUGGGACUGAGACACGGCCCAGACUCCUACGGGAGGCAGCAGUGGGGAAUAUUGGACAAUGGGGGCAACCCUGAUCCAGCCAUGCCGCGUGUGUGAAGAAGGCUCUAGGGUUGUAAAGCACUUUCAGUAGGGAGGAAAAGUUAGUAGUUAAUAACUGCUAGCCCUGACGUUACCUACAGAAGAAGCACCGGCAAACUCCGUGCCAGCAGCCGCGGUAAUACGGAGGGUGCGAGCGUUAAUCGGAAUUACUGGGCGUAAAGCGCGCGUAGGCGGCCUGAUAAGUUGGAUGUGAAAGCCCUGGGCUCAACCUGGGAACUGCAUUCAAAACUGUCAGGCUAGAGUAUGGUAGAGGAUAGUGGAAUUUCCGGUGUAGCGGUGAAAUGCGUAGAGAUCGGAAGGAACAUCAGUGGCGAAGGCGACUACCUGGAUUAACACUGACACUGAGGCACGAAAGCGUGGGUAGCAAACAGGAUUAGAUACCCUGGUAGUCCACGCCGUAAACGAUGUCAACUAGCCGUUGGGAGACUUGAUCUUUUAGUGGCGCAGCUAACGCGAUAAGUUGACCGCCUGGGGAGUACGGUCGCAAGAUUAAAACUCAAAUGAAUUGACGGGGGCCCGCACAAGCGGUGGAGCAUGUGGUUUAAUUCGAUGCAACGCGAAGAACCUUACCAAUCCUUGACAUCCAGAGAAAUCAGCAGAAAUGCAGACGUGCCUUCGGGAACUCUGUGACAGGUGCUGCAUGGCUGUCGUCAGCUCGUGUUGUGAAAUGUUGGGUUAAGUCCCGUAACGAGCGCAACCCUUAUCCUUAUUUGCCAGCACAUUAUGGUGGGAACUCUAAGGAGACUGCCGGUGACAAACCGGAGGAAGGGGGGGACGACGUCAAGUCAUCAUGGCCCUUACGACCUGGGCUACACACGUGCUACAAUGGCAAGAACAGAGGGACGCGAAGCCGCGAGGUGGAGCUAAUCCCAGAAAGCUUGUCGUAGUCCGGAUUGGAGUCUGCAACUCGACUCCAUGAAGUCGGAAUCGCUAGUAAUCGCGAAUCAGAAUGUCGCGGUGAAUACGUUCCCGGGCCUUGUACACACCGCCCGUCACACCAUGGGAGUGGAUUGCACCAGAAGUAGCUAGCUUAACCUUCGGGAGGUCGGU
rnacentral:rRNA from 1 species